UGCUGAGCAAACCCCAAUGACAAGUAAUCAAGACCCACAAAAGAAAAUUGACGAAAACACAGAAGACCUAAACAAAGCUUUAAAAGAAUCAGAAGAGGACAAAUCGGAAAAUAACAAAACUCUGAAUGAUGAUAAGAAGGAGGAAAAAGAAAGUUCGAGCAAGUAAGGAGAAAAAGUUAAGUGAUGUUAAAUUUUACAUUAAAAGGAUAAUAAAGUGUUAUAAGAACUGGAUGUAAAGAUUGAUCUAAUUGCUGAAUAGACCAUUCCUGGUUGG